rnacentral:lncRNA from 1 species
CAAUUUUUUGAGAGAUUAAUUCAUUUUUGAAAUCCAAUCUCUACUCUCUCUUUCUUCCCUACGAAAAGACCUUCUUCUUGGUGAUUUAGGGUCUUUUAUUUUGGAUAUUUUGGAGAGAAAUAUUCUAGGUUUUUGGGUUAGAUUGCUGACCGCUUUCUUCCUGUGUGGAGACUCCAUUUUUGGUGAUUUUCAGAUUUGCGAGAGAGACUUUAUUCUUGUAUUUUACUGCCUGAUUAUUGGGGCUUUAUAGUGCAAUCGAGAUUUAUCCAUUUUAAUGGACACUCAAUAUGGGAAUAAACAUUAGAAGGGGUUUCGAAACCUCUGGGGCUUCGGUUGAAAAAAUAUUGUGUUCAUUUUACAAUUUUCUACACUUUAUUUUACUGUUUGUUUUGUUUGGUUUAAAUCUUGAUUAAUUCUUAGACGCUCCUCGAAUUUUCAGUGGUAUCAGAGCAAUUUUGGACUACUGGAGCGUCUCUGAUUCCUGUGAAUUGACUGGAUUCUGAAAUUUUCCUUCAAACUGCAGUAAACAUUGGCUGGUGGAAAUUGAGUUUUAUCAAACUCGUUUGGUGAGAUCUUUCUUGCAUUCUGUAAUUAGUUUUUACAGUAGAGUCUAUAGGAAUUGAUAUCUCUGUUCUUUGUGAUCCUGCCUCUUAUACUUAGUGUUAAGUGUUUACUGUUUGUGAAAAUUGUAUAAGUGCAUUGGUCAUUGGCCCCUGAUCCCCUAGUUUGCCUGCAGUAUUUUUAUUGUGUGUCCUAAUGUGUUCUUAAAAUCAAACUUGUGUACUGUGAACUUUCUUAGUGAAUCUUGUCAUGGCUACUACUAAGUUUGAAUUGAGCAUGUUUAAUAGGAAGGGGGACUUUAAUAUGUGGAGCCAGAAAAUGAGGACUAUCUUGAUGCAAAUGAAAUGUGUUAAAGCCCUAGAUAAUUCAUGGCCUGCUGAGAUGUUUGUUGCUAAAAGAACUGAGUUAGAAGAAAUAGCGUGGAGUACUAUUUUCUUGUAACUUUUGGACAAUGUGAUCAGGUGUAUAGGUGAAACUAAAACUGCUGAAGAAUUGCGGACCAAAUUGAAAGCUCAAUAUGAGCCAAAAAUUAUUCCAUACAAAUGUUUUUUGCUAAAACAAUUCUUUUCUUUCAAAAUGGACCCUUCGGUUGACUUGGAUGAAAACUUGGACAAAUUUAUGAAAUUGACCCAGGACCUUGCCAAUUGUGAUGAGAAAUUAUCUGAAGAUCAGCUGGUUGUGGUCUUGUUAAACUCCAUUAGUGAUAGGCAUAGAGACUUAAAGAAUACCUUGGAAUAUGGAAGAGAUAAGCUUACCACCGAUAUCAUCAUAAAUUCCUUGAGAAAUAUGGUUCUUGAAUUAAAAUCAGACUCUAUCAACCAUCAAAGGGGAGAAAAUAUUUUGUUAAAAGGAAAAAAUGUUGGUAAAUCUAAUUUUCAUUCAAAAUUUCAAAAUGACCCUAAGAAAAGAAACAAUGACAAAAUGAAAUCCAAAACUAGGGCAAAUGGAAAGAAAUGUUUUUAUUGUGGUAAGUUGGGUCACUUUGCAGGGAUUGUUACAAAAAGCAAAAUGAUUUGAAAGGAAAGAAGCUAAGUGAAGGUAAUGCUGUUAUGUCCUAUGACAAGAAACAAAUUGAUAAUGGCCUGGUUCUUGUAAAUGUUUGAUUCAGGUUGCUCUUUCCUCAUGUGCCCUAAUAAAACUAUUUUUUCGAUUUUGAACAAACAAAAGGAGGUCAAGUUAUCAUUGGAAACAACAUGACCUGCAAAGUGAAAGGUAUUGAAACAAUAAAAUUGCUUUUGGAAAAUGGCAGAAUUUUAUUAUUAAAAGAUGCCAGAUUUGUUCCUAAAUUAGAAAGAAGCCUUGUGUCUCUAGGAAUGCUGGAUGACAUGGAGUUUGACAUAAAAGUGGGUCAAGGACAUAUUAAAAUCUUUAGGGGUAGUGAUUUGAUCACAAAGACAUGGUUUAUACUUUCUAAAUGCAAAACCUUUAUUGAGUCUUUCAGCAGCUGUUUUAGAUGAUGAAUUUAAUCUUGCAAAAUUGUGGCAUUGUAGACUUGGUCACAUUGGAGUAAAAGGUUUAAAGGCUUUACAAAAUAAAGGUUUAUUUGGAAAAUCAAAUAUUGGUGAAUUGGCUAAACGUGAACAAUGUUUGAUUGGAAAGCAAGUUAAAUUACCUUUUCCCACUAGUACUCAUAAAUCAAAACAAAUUCUAGAAUGCUUACAUGCUGAUUUGUGGGGUCCUGCAUCCACCCCUACAUUGUCUGGUUACAAGUAUUAUUUGCUUAUUAUUGAUGAUUUCUCAAGAAAAAUUUAGGUAUUUCUUUUGAAAACUAAAGAUGAAACAUUUACUACAUUUAAAGAUUGGAAAACCCAAAUUGAAAAUUAAAACUUUGAGAACGGACAAUGGACUAGAAUUUUGCAAUUGUAAGUUUAAUGAUUUUUGCAAGUUGCUUGGCAUCUUAAGACAUAGGACUGUAACAUACACACACUCAGCAAAAUGGCAUUGCAGAAAGAAUGAAUAGGAUUUUGUUGAAUAAAGUUAGAUGCAUGUUUUUAAAUUUGGGCUUGCCCAAAUUAUUUUGGGGUGAAGCUGUUAAAACCGCUGCAUAUUUGAUUAAUAGAAGCCCUACGAGUGCUUUAAAUUUUGAUGUGCCUGAAUUUGUGUGGACAGAAAAGCCUGUGAUUUAUUCUUAUUUGAAAACAUUUGGUUGUGCUGUAUAUGCUCGUCAAAACAUAGGUAAACUUGAACUUAGAUCACAUAAAUGUGUGUUUUGGGCUGUGCUGAAAAUGUUAAAGGUUACAGUUUGUGGGUUUAUGGGAAAAAAGUUUACAGGGUUAUCAUAAGAAAGGAUGUGGUCUUUAAGGAGUCAUGUAUGCCAUGUUUGGAAGGGAAAAAGGGGAAAUUUGACUGAAAAUGAUGUCCAAAUUAAGGUGGAGCCUAUUAAAAUAGAUAAUACCAGUUCUGUCCCCUUAGAAACAGCAACUAAUGAGGCUGACCAGAAUGAAAAUGAGCCUGAUUUGGUCGAACCUUAUUUAUGUGAUGACAUAAAUAUACUUCUAGAUGAAUACCAGCUCACUAAAGAUAGGGAUAGGAGGCAAAUUAGACCACCGGCUAGGUUCAAUUGUGAUGAAUUUGUGUUUUUGUUCACUUACCAAGAAGAAAUUGAAUAUGAACCUAGUUCCUAUCAUGAAGCCUUGAAAUCUAAAGAUUCUAAGCGGUGGUUGAGUGCUAUGGAAGAAGAAAUCUCUUCCUUAUAUAAGAAUGAAACUUGGCAAUUGGUUGACAAACCAAAGGAUAAGGAAUUAGUUGAUUGCAAGUGGGUUUAUAAAAUAAAGGAAUGGAAAGGUGGCACUAAUAAUGUUAGAUACAAAGAUAGACUAGUUGCCAAGGGUUUCACACAAAAAGAGGGUGUGGGCUAUGAUGAGAUUUUUCCUCCGUGGUUAAAUAUACAACUAUAAGAUGUAUUCUUGCUUUAGUUGUGCAAUUUAAAUGGAAAUCAACUAAAUGUAAAAAAUGCAUUCUUGUAUGGUGAAUGGAAUAAAUGAUCUACAUGAGACAACCUCUAGGAUUUAUUAAGGGAAAUCCUGAAAAAACUAUGUGUUUGUUGAAAAAAUCAUUAUAUGGCCUAAAACAAGCUCCAAGACAAUGGUAUAAAAGAUUUGAUUCAUUUGUCUUGAAACUUGGGUUUAUUAAAAGUAAUUAUGAUACAUGUCUUUAUUGUAAAGGAAGUGAAGGUAAAGAUUCAUUGUAUCUUGUGCUUUAUGUUGAUGAUAUGCUUCUUGCUAGUGCCAAUAAAUUUGAAAUUGAUGAUAUCAAACAUAAAUUAAAAUCAAAAUUUGAUAUGAAGUAUCUUGGUCCUGCUUAGAAAAUACUUGGCAUGCAAAUUAUUAGAGAUGAGAAAUCUGAUUGCUUGUUCUUAUAUCAACAAGAUUAUGUGAAUAAGAUCUUAAAGAGGUUUAAUAUGUUUGAUUGUAAACCUAUGACUUUACCCCUUACUAAUCACUUUAUAUUAACAUCUUAUUCGUGUCCUAAAACUGAAGAUGAACUUGAAAGAAUGUCUAAAAUUCCUUAUGCUAAUGCUACUGGUUCAGUCAUGUACUUAAUGAUUUUCACCAUACCUGAUUUGGUUUUUAGUAUUAGUGUUUUGAGUAGAUUUAUUGGAAAUCCUAGUGAAAUUCAUUGGGAAGCAUUGAAGUGGUUACUGAGAUACUUAAACUGUUCAUCUAACUUGGGUUUGAUGUUUAAAAUGGACAAAGAUGGGGUAAUUUUAAAAGGUUAUACAGAUUCUGAUUUUGCUGGAAAUAGAGACAAUAGACUUCAUCUUAUUUUUACACUUUGUGUAGUACUAUGAUAAGUUGGAAAUCUCAGUUAUAAAAAAUUGUUGCUCUAUCUUCCACGAAGGCUGAAUAUAUUGCUGCCACUAAUGCCAUUAAAGAAGGCAUAUAGCUGCAUGGUUUGUUGAAUGAACUUGGUUUUAUAGACAUUAAUCCAAUACUAUAUUCUUACAAUCAAAGUGCAAUCCAUUUAAGUAAGAAUCUCAUGUUCCAUGAUAGAACUAAGCAUGUUGAUGUAAAAUAUCGCUUUAUAAGGGAUAUUACAUCAAAAGGAUUGCUGAAAAUAAAUAAAAUUCCUCCUUUGUAUAAUUCAUCAUAUAUGGGAACUAAGGUGAUACCUUUAAAUAAGUUUCAAAACUAUUUAAAGAUGUUAUCUAUUGAUUCUUUUCAUUGAUUAUACAGGUACUUGGAGCAAAUGACAUUAUAAAUGUUGGUGAAACUCGUAGGUGCACUAUAGCCUUAAAUUUUGGAAGCAAGGUGGAGAUUGUUGAGAAUUCAACCUGCUGACCAUUCUUUACUAUUAAUUGUGCUUCCAAAAUUGAAGAAAACGUGUUUACAAAAUAACAACUUCUUUAGUGGAGACUUUCAUCUAGAUUUCGACACCUGGCAUCAUGAUGUCCAUCAGAUCAGAAUCUAUUGACUUGCAAUAUAUAAAUCUGGUGCGAUUCUGACUGGGGAUGACAGCAUUAAUUUUUUGAGAGAUUAAUUCAUUUUUGAAGUCCGAUCUCUGCUUUCUCUUUCUUCCCUGUGAAAAAGACCUUCUUUUUGGUGAUUUAUGGUCUUUUAUUUUGGGGAGAAAUAUUCUAGGUUUUUGGGUCAGAUUGCUGACCGUUUUCUUCCUGUGUAGAGACUCUAUUUUUUGGUGAUUUUCAGAUUUGCGAGAGAGACUUUAUUCUUGUAUUUUACUGCCUGAUUAUUGGGGUUUUAUAGUGCAAUCGAGCUUUAUCCAUUUUAAUGGAUGCUCAACAAGGGAAGGCAUUAGAAGUGGUCGCCGAACCUCUGGGGUUUCGGCCGAAAAAAUCUUGUGCUCAUUUUACAAUUUUCUGCACCUUAUUUUACUAUUUGUUGUGUUUGGUUUAAAUCUUGAUUAAUUCUUGGACGCUCCUCGACUUUUCAAUUUUCUAUCACUGUUUCUAUCUAAACAUAAAGUAGAUUAUUGGCAAGAAUUGAAAUUUUGUUUAAAUUUCACUGUACACGAUUAAGUAAAUUCUCAAUAGAAGUACCAAUACACAUGGCUACCUAUGCCCCCCACCUAGAUUGGACAUCGAGAUGGUAUCAACUUUGAGCUAUAUUGGGGUCCGUAUAUAGGACUUUACAGGAAAGCACCAGUGCAAUUAGGCAACUGCAAGAUGGACAAGACACCUUCGUGAUUACCCUCUGCAAUAUAGAUGAGCGGCAGCAUUGCUAUCGCGAGAAAUUAUUGAUACUCAUGGGACGCCUCAAUGAUUACCAUGACGUCCCAUAUGUUACUGAUGAUGGCAACCAGAUAGUAGCUCCACUCCAUAGAGAGUAGUAAACUCUUAUUUUAUUUUUAUUGCUUACAUUGAGGAGAAUUGUAAUUGAAGUUUAGGAGGUAUGGUUUGUAAUAUCGUAUUUUGUUAUGUUUGAUUGCGAGUGAUUGUUUUUAUUUUCAUUUCCAA